AUUUACUAUAGCAUCAACAAGGGCCGCAUGUCAUCGCGCACACAACAAUGCAUCAAUUACUUUUGAAGGCCAUAACCAGGGCAAAGGCUUCACCGAUGGUGACAGUAGAUGAUGAUGGACCCUCCGCUGAACUAUCCGCCCGUACGCGUAUGUCUGUUUGUAGGUUUCUUUCCAAUUUGCAGAUUUCUUUUUGUGGUGUCACCUAAUCAAUCCUACAUAUUUAUUUUUAAUUGUGUUAAUUUUUUUGAAGACAGCACAAUCGGCUUGCGUUGAUGGGGGCUAGAAAAACCCCUAUUCCUUAACCACCAAAGCUACCUACAAUCAGCUAACCCUAGGCGCUUCUUUCACACAAAUAUAGAGCACUGAAACAAAAGGCGCCUCCCACGAUGACUGGAGCGGUGAUGGUGACUGGACGUGUUAGGUGACCGACUGGGUGUUUAUAUAGUUGUUGAUUAUGUUCGUAUUUCGUAUGUGUAAUUAGUUCAUUAGCUUGUAGGUAUUUAGCCUUUUUUCAUGGGUUUAUAGAUAUUUAGGUUGUAAGUCCUUAAAAAAAUUUAACUCUAAAAAAAAAACAAAGGAAAAUCAGUUGCCUCUCUCUUCUUCUCUCUUGAAGUUGCCUCUCUCUUCUUCUUCCAGGGCAAAGGCUUGACCGAUGGUGACAGUAGAUGAUGAUGGACCCUCCGCUGAACUAUCCGCCCGUACGCGUAUGUCUGUUUGCAGGUUUCUUUCCAAUUUGCAGAUUUCUUUUUGUGGUGUCACCUAAUCAAUCCUAUUUAUUUUUAGUUGUGUUAAUUUUUUGAAGAAGACAGCACAAUCGGCUUGCGUUAAUGGGGGCUAGAAAACCCCCUAUUCCUCAACCACCAAAGCUACCUACAAUCAGCUAACCCUAGGCGCUUCAUUCACACAAAUAUAGAGCACUGAAACAAAAGGCGCCUCCCACGAUGACUGGAGCGGUGAUGGUGACUGGACGUGUUAGGUGACCGACUGGGUGUUUAUAUAGUUGUUGAUUAUGUUCGUAUUUCGUAUGUUUAAUUAGUUCAUUAGCUUGUAGGUAUUUAGCCUUUUUUCAUGGGUUUAUAGAUAUUUAUUUAUUUCCUCCGGUUUUUUAAUUAAUAUGCAACCAUAAAGUUUUUUUUUUACUUUAGAUUGUAUGUCUUUAGUUUAUUUAUCUUUUCAAUUAGUUUGUAAACCUUAUACUUUCACUUUAGCUCGUAAGAUUUUAGGUUAUUUAUCUUUUAAAUUCACAUUAAGAUUCAAGCGACACACACGUCCAUCCAGCUCCAAUUUUCGAAUCCAAGAGAAAAUAAAAAGCACAGGAAAUCAUCCAUUUUUCAAAAAUUUCCUGUCAUGGCCCUUUUUCCUUUCACUUUUCUUCUCGUUCCCCAUAUUUGUCCCCAAGCGACCAGUAAUGAACAUAGGCACCUUUCUGCCGUGUUGCCAAUCGAAUAAACAUCGUAUCAUUCACAAUAAUACGCUUAAUGGCCCUACUCAAGUUUUGUCAUUACGCACACAACAACUAUCACUGCUUGCGGUCCUUCAUGUGGAAUAUCCCUAACGGUUUACCUCUCAGGACGUCCAUCUCAUAUAGACAGUUUCCAAUCGCUUUGCUGGAAACUGCGACGAAAUACCUAAUGGCCGGAAUAAAUCUGAAAUAAUGGCCUAAAUAAAUCUUUUACGGAAAAAUUUCCGAAAAUCGUU